rnacentral:rRNA from 1 species
UACGAAGGGUGCAAGCGUUACUCGGAAUUACUGGGCGUAAAGCGCGCGUAGGCGGCUUUGUAAGUUAGAGGUGAAAGCCCGGGGCUCAACUCCGGAACUGCCUUUAAGACUGCAUCGCUUGAAUCCGGGAGAGGUGAGUGGAAUUCCGAGUGUAGAGGUGAAAUUCGUAGAUAUUCGGAAGAACACCAGUGGCGAAGGCGGCUCACUGGACCGGUAUUGACGCUGAGGUGCGAAAGCGUGGGGAGCAAACAGG